AUUUACAUAUAUUAAGAGUAUAUAUCAUAACGGGCGUGCCACUGUCUCAGAAAGCUUGGUAGGAUCGGGAAGAGAAGUGUUAAAAUAGUAUAAUACUUAAUUUGAAUAUUGUACUAUUCCAAGGAAUUUGCAAGAUGAGGUCUUCUUUUAAUUUAGCAACUUUGCUCGUUAUUACAAGCCUGUUACCAACAAUCAAUGCAGCUUGCUGCGAAGAUGGAUGGUUUGCAUAUAACGGGCAUUGUUACUACAUUGAUAUGCGCAUGACACUGCCGUAUUCUACAGCAAGGAAACCAAAACAACAAAGUCUUCAGUAUACUCUUUGGGAAUAAAAUCGUGGAGAUUUACGAAAAAAAAUUGAAAUGAAGUUUACAAUUUUCAAUGGGACGAAUGCUUUGAUCUCUAUAUCAACAAAUAGACUGCUGAAAACAUUUUCACCAAAUUAUUCGACUCUCUAAAAACAGUAAACCAAACAAAGAUAUAUCGUCACCUUGGCGCAAAAAGUACAGUAACUGACAUUUUAAAAAAUUUACAGGAAACACAAAAAACUGAUUUGUUCAUUUUCAGAAAAACACUUUGAAUACCAGACAAUGAUGUGA